GAUGAACGCUGGCGGCGUGCCUAAUACAUGCAAGUCGAGCGAACAGAUAAGGAUCUUGCUCCUUUGAAGUUAGCGGCGGACGGGGGAGUAACACGUGGGUAACCUACCUAUAAGACUGGGAUGACUUCGGGAAACCGGAGCUAAUACCGGAUAACAUUUAGAACCGCAUGGUUCUAAAGUGAAAGAUGGUUUUGCUAUCACUUAUAGAUGGACCCGCGCCGUAUUAUCUAGUUGGUAAGGUAACGGCUUACCAAGGCGACGAUACGUAUCCGACCUGAGAGGGUGAUCGGCCACACUGGAACUGAGACACGGUCCAGACUCCUACGGGAGGCAGCAGUAGGGAAUCUUCCGCAAUGGGCGAAAGCCUGACGGAGCAACGCCGCGUGAGUGAUGAAGGGUUUCGGCUCGUAAAACUCUGUUAUUAGGGAAGAACAAAUGUGUAAGUAACUGUGCACAUCUUGACGGUACCUAAUCAGAAAGCCACGGCUAACUACGUG
rnacentral:rRNA from 1 species